rnacentral:rRNA from 1 species
UCGGGAAUAUUGGACAAUGGAGGAAACUCUGAUCCAGUGACGCCGCGUGAAGGAAGAAGGUCUUCGGAUUGUAAACUUAUUUUGUCAGUGAAGAAAAAAAUGACAGUAGCUGAAGAAAAAGCACCGGCAAACUACGUGCCAGCAGCCGCGGUAAUACGUAGGGUGCAAGCGUUAUCCGGAAUUACUGGGUGUAAGGGCGAGUAGACGGUUAUCUAAGUCAGUUGUGAAAACUUAGUGCUUAACAUUAAGCGUGCAACUGAAACUAGACUACUAGAGUGCAGGAGAGGAAAAUGGAAUUCCUAGUGUAGCGGUGAAAUGCGUAGAUAUUAGGAGGAACACCAGUGGCGAAGGCGAUUUUCUGGACUGUAACUGACGCUGAGGGACGAAAGCGUGGGGAGCG